rnacentral:SRP_RNA from 1 species
UGCGGCCUCGUCGACAGCGCGCUGUGAACCCCGCCAGGCCCGGAAGGGAGCAACGGUGGCAGAAAGCGGGUGUGACGGGGCCUUCCUG